AUGCUUACUAGUGGAGUCUCUACUCAUUCUAAUUUUAAGUAAGUAGCAUUAAUUUUAUUUCCCUUGUUGAUUAUAGUUUUGUUUAGAGCUGGAGCUUGCAAGCAGUCUUUCUUGUCCUUCUUUCAAUGCUGAAGGAGAUGUUAAUAUAUGUACGAGACCAAACUCCACUGAUUGCCAGAUAAAGAUAAGAUUUAACGUUACCAUUGAUCGAUGGAUACUAGUCUCUGGAGAUUGUGCAGUAAAUUGCCAAAACUACACCUAUACGACAUUCGGUACCACGUUCAAGGUGGGAUGCUGUCCAAAAGUGGAAGGCAAAGUUCACUGUCCCCUGGACGGGAGAGUUUUUGGUGAUGGCAUCAAGCCGCUUCUCCCCCACCGUCCCGACCCAACUCCUUCAGUCGCUCCAAGUCCAAGUAGUACAGCAAUGGAUGCAAGCAGAACUGGAUCUAUUCAUCCCAACCCAACUAUCACUCAUGUUGAUGGUGAUGAUCCCACGACUGAUCCAAAUAAUCCAGACAUUAUCACAAAUUACGUAUACCCAGCUGGCAUUUGCCUUGAGAUUGCAAUAUUUGCUGUGACUCUAAUUGUCUUGAUAAGGGAGGGGUAUAAGUUCUGCCAGAACAGAAUAAGAGAGAGAGCUGCUGCCGAUAGGAAUCUGCAGCAUUAAGGACUGUUAGACUUUGACUACCUAAUUUUUUUCUGUUUACAUCUGCAUUUUUGAUUUUCCAUGUAAAUCAAAUAUAACAUGCCAUGCGUCCAGCUCUGUAUGGGCUUUGAAACAUUUUUCUUUUACAGGCCCAACUCCUCCUACUACUGGUACCUC